rnacentral:rRNA from 1 species
UACGAAGGGGGCUAGCGUUGCUCGGAAUCACUGGGCGUAAAGCGCACGUAGGCGGCUUUGUAAGUUAGAGGUGAAAGCCCGGAGCUCAACUCCGGAAUUGCCUUUAAGACUGCAUCGCUAGAAUUGUGGAGAGGUGAGUGGAAUUCCGAGUGUAGAGGUGAAAUUCGUAGAUAUUCGCAAGAACACCAGUGGCGAAGGCGGCAGCCUGGGUCCAGACUGACACUGAGGUGCGAAAGCGUGGGGAGCAAACAGG